UACGUAGGGAGCAAGCGUUGUCCGGAAUCAUUGGGCGUAAAGAGCGUGUAGGCGGCUCGGUAAGUCCGCUGUAAAAGUCCAGGGCUCAACCCUGGAAAGCCGGUGGAAACUGUCGAGCUAGAGUCCGGAAGAGGCGAGUGGAAUUCCUGGUGUAGCGGUGAAAUGCGCAGAUAUCAGGAGGAACACCACUGGCGAAGGCAGCUCGCUGGGACGGUACUGACGCUGAGACGCGAAAGCGUGGGGAGCAAGCAGG
rnacentral:rRNA from 1 species